rnacentral:rRNA from 1 species
AGUGAACGCUGGCGGUAGGCCUAACACAUGCAAGUCGAACGGCAGCACAGUAAGAGCUUGCUCUUACGGGUGGCGAGUGGCGGACGGGUGAGGAAUACAUCGGAAUCUACUUUUUCGUGGGGGAUAACGUAGGGAAACUUACGCUAAUACCGCAUACGACCUACGGGUGAAAGCAGGGGAUCUUCGGACCUUGCGCGAUUGAAUGAGCCGAUGUCGGAUUAGCUAGUUGGCGGGGUAAAGGCCCACCAAGGCGACGAUCCGUAGCUGGUCUGAGGGGAUGAUCAGCCACACUGGAACUGAGACACGGUCCAGACUCCUACGGGAGGCAGCAGUGGGGAAUAUUGGACAAUGGGCGCAAGCCUGAUCCAGCCAUACCGCGUGGGUGAAGAAGGCCUUCGGGUUGUAAAGCCCUUUUGUUGGGAAAGAAAAGCGGCAGGUUAAUACCCCGCUGUUCUGACGGUACCCAAAGAAUAAGCACCGGCUAACUUCGUG